rnacentral:lncRNA from 1 species
AGCUGCUCUUUGUGUGACGCAUUUCCUCACCCAGCCGCAGAUUGCAACAGAGGAGAUGAGAUAAAGAUGAGGAACCUCAACAGAAAGGAUGGAUGUAAACAGUGGGUUUGCUGUGCAGUGACAAGAGCCCAGCUUGGGAAGGGUGUUGAGUGGGGUGAAGAUGUCACAGGAACUCACGAAAGCCAGAGGAGUUCACAGUUCAGAGAAGCUUUUUGAGCUCCCAAGAGGAUGUAAAGGGCACAAGGUCACCUUUAUUGAACUGUUUUCCUGUUGGCCAUCCCUUCUGGGCCCCAAGUUCUGCAUUUGCAGCAUCUGGCACAGUGCUGGGCACAUCCUGAGCUUGAGAAAAGGAACCUGGGCAGGAGGAGAUAAGCCAAUAUAUCUGCCUGUUGAGCCUACAGUUAAAAAUAAUUAUAGAGAACAUGGUGAUGCUUCAGAAACUGUCAGGAUCUUUACUCUUUGUCCAGGAAGCCCUGAACUGUCAUUGGAAAUAAGAUGCCAGAACCACAGAUGUCCUUAGGCAGA